GCUGAAGCCAGUCGAAGAUACCAGCUGGCUGCAACUGUUUAUUAAAAACACAGCACUGUGCAAACACGAAAGUGGACGUAUACGGUGUGACGCCUGCCCGGUGCUGGAAGGUUAAUUGAUGGGGUUAGCCGUAAGGCGAAGCUCCUGAUCGAAGCCCCAGUAAACGGCGGCCGUAACUAUAACGGUCCUAAGGUAGCGAAAUUCCUUGUCGGGUAAGUUCCGACCUGCACGAAUGGCGUAAUGAUGGCCAGGCUGUCUCCACCCGAGACUCAGUGAAAUUGAACUCGCUGUGAAGAUGCAGUGUACCCGCGGCAAGACGGAAAGACCCCGUGAACCUUUACUAUAGCUUGACACUGAACAUUGAGCCUUGAUGUGUAGGAUAGGUGGGAGGCUUUGAAGUGUGGACGCCAGUCUGCAUGGAGCCAACCUUGAAAUACCACCCUUUAACGUUUGAUGUUCUAACCUAGGCCCAUAAACUGGGUCGGGGACCGUGUCUGGUGGGUAGUUUGACUGGGGCGGUCUCCUCCUAAAGAGUAACGGAGGAGCACGAAGGUUGGCUAAGCAUGGUCGGACAUCAUGCGGUUAGUGCAAAGGCAUAAGCCAGCUUGACUGCGAGAGUGACGGCUCGAGCAGGUACGAAAGUAGGUCUUAGUGAUCCGGUGGUUCUGAAUGGAAGGGCCAUCGCUCAACGGAUAAAAGGUACUCCGGGGAUAACAGGCUGAUACCGCCCAAGAGUUCAUAUCGACGGCGGUGUUUGGCACCUCGAUGUCGGCUCAUCACAUCCUGGGGCUGAAGUAGGUCCCAAGGGUAUGGCUGUUCGCCAUUUAAAGUGGUACGCGAGCUGGGUUUAGAACGUCGUGAGACAGUUCGGUCCCUAUCUGCCGUGGGCGUUGGAAGAUUGAGAGGGGUUGCUCCUAGUACGAGAGGACCGGAGUGAACGCACCACUGGUGUUCGGGUUGUCAUGCCAAUGGCAUUGCCCGGUAGCUAAGUGCGGAAGAGAUAACCGCUGAAAGCAUCUAAGCGGGAAACUUGCCUCGAGAUGAGUCUUCCCUGUCGCUUUAAG
rnacentral:rRNA from 1 species